UGUCUAGGGGCUCAAACCUAAAGAACCCAAAUAUCUAAACGGAGAAAUUCAAUACUAACGAUUUUAAACUCGCUUAGUGUGCACUUUUCUCUUAGUAAGACGCCGUGAUCCAUUAGAAAUUGAUGCAUACAAAAUGUAUAUUGGGUCAUCAAUAGGCUAAUAUGAAGUUUAUUGGAACAAAUGGCAUGAUCUUAUACGGUUGUGUGUAUUGUCUGGUAAGCAUAUUGUGUCCUGUAAUGACUGUCUGAUGGAUUUUAAAGAUGAUAUCAAUGAUGUUACGRCAUCACUUAUUUCGAUAAGAGUACGAUAUCUAUCUGAUCAACGGUGGUUAAAUUUGGGAUACCUUUUGGACCCGUCUUGAAACACGGACCAAGGAGUCUAUCUAGUAUGCGAGUAAAUGGAUAGUUUAUGAAAUCUAUUUGCAUAAUAAACUUGACUGUUUUAAUGGGAUUACGAGAUUAGAUACUUAACGUGUUUGUCUCUUCCAUCCCGGGGUAUUUUCAUCAACAUAUGCUUGCAUAUGGAAAAUAUACCAUGAGCACACUGGAUACGACCCGAAAGAUGGUGAACUAUGCCUGAUCAGGUCGAAGUCAGGGGAAACCCUGAUGGAGGACCGAAGCAGUUCUGACGUGCAAAUCGAUUGUCAGAAUUGGGCAUAGGGGCGAAAGACCAAUCGAACCAUC
rnacentral:rRNA from 1 species